rnacentral:lncRNA from 1 species
AUGACAUUCAUUUUGGUAUUCAAUCAGAAAAACAAAAUUUAUGGACAAGUCCAACCACGUAAAUGGUAAUUGUGGAAUGUUUAGCUUUGGGAAGGGACAUGAAUCAUCACAUAAGAAUUUUCCGCACACGUUUCUUUGACAUGGAAUGAAAGAGGUGUUGCGUACAGAUGUUUGCCUGAUUUCAGCACAGGAUGGAGAUCAAGGUCAUGGAACUUGGAGCAGGCCGAGAUGAUUGGUGGUCCAUUUAACAAGAUUAAAGUCUCAUCUUGAUUGUACACAGAUAACGGGAAAGAAGGGUUGAAGAGCUUUAUUCACAAAUCCAAGGCUCCACAAAUCGAAAGCCCGCAUAAAGGGUGAUGCCAAUCCUUUGCCACCCGUGAUGUUUUCAGAGUAAAACUCUGCCCAUAUCUUGAUCGAUGGGUACAACAAGUCAACCAGCCAUGUAAGAUUUAAGUCUUCGUACUAGCACUGUGUUCUUCUUCUACUUCAUGGUUAUUAAUUGUAUUUCUUUCCUUUUGAUCACUAAUGUCCAGCGAGCCUCCCUAACAGAAGUUCCCAUAAGGAAACAGAGUGAAAGCGCCCUGGAGAAUUAAAUGAUUGUCGGGUUUAAGUCCAGAAAAAUUAAAGCUCCCGUCUCACCCUUCCUUCAGGGGACCAAACAAUGCUAAAGAUAAGACCCAGGGUGGAACUAGCAAGCAGUAUCAUUCAGUAUAUGAGAAUGGUAAGUCCUGGAAGGUUGCGUAAGGCUAUUUCAAUCAGAAGCUAGACAUCGAGAGAAAGAGAAGAAAGAAGUUUCCUUCUCUAAUCUACUUGGACAAGAUCGUGCGUCCUUAUUCUAAUCAAAACCAGGCCUACCUGGAAAAUCAAGCAAAAAGGACCCCGAAACUGAGCAGACACCAUGGCACUAAAAAGAUCAAGUGAUACCCCGGAACUGAAUUAAGAAAACGUGAUCAAAGUUCCCAAACCUGUCGAACUUGAUGCCAGGCAUCAAGAGAAAGUUAAAGCUGAAACUGCAACAAAAACAUAAUCAGCAGCUUAGUUCGAUAUCCCUAUUCCCUUCUGUGGGAGCGUAUGCAAAUAAAACCAAAUUCAAUUAAUUCCCUUCCUGUCUCCUUCUCCAUCAGGACCACGUCCUCAAGCAAGUUGGUGCCUUGU